CUGAAGCAGGCUGCAGGCUCUGAGCUGUCAGCACAGAGCCUGAUGUGAGGCUUGAACCUACGAACUGUGAGAUCAUGACUGAGCCAAAGUUGAAUGCUUAACUGAGCCACCCAGGCGCCCCCAAGCAGGGGUUUCUACAGGACAAGACAGUUGUUUCUGGAGAGCUCCAGACUGGAGGAUCCCGUACAAGUUCAGGAUGGUACUCCUUAAACUGCAUUAUGACAGUGUGCUACAAAGAGACCAGGUGGUCCAGAUCAGGGUCAGCACAGGUGUUUCUGUACAGGUUCAGAGCUGUGUUAAUGUAGACCAUAGGAACAGGUGUUCGUGUCUAGAUUCAAUCAAGAAAUUGUUAUCAAUAGGGCUAAAUUAUGCUAGCUCCUGUAACAAACCCAGAAUUUUAGAGGAUUAACAAAUAAAUGUUUAUUUCUUGCUCGUACAAAGUCCAAUGUGAAUAUUUAUUACUGGUCAUUCAGGGACUCAGGUAGCUUCCAUUUUGUGGCUCUGCUCUCCUCUGAGUCUUUGGGGUUCUCACUAUUCAACUGGUAUAUGGGGAAGGAGAGAGAGUGGGGGAUUCCAUGAGAGGUUUUUAUGGGCCAGGCCUGGAAGAGGUGUAUAUCAUUGCCCAUAUGCCAUGGAUCAGAACUCUGUCACAUGUCCACAUCUAACCAUAAAGGAGGUCAGAAAAGUGAAUGAGGUUAGGAAAACAGGUUUGAUGAGCCAAUAGCAGUGCCUGCUACAGGAUUCUAUAAACCCCAAAGAGCUGCAAUGUCCAGUGUAGUAGCCACAGUCAGAAUAGUGGUUCCUGUACUGGGUGAGGGUGGGACUUCCAGGGCAAGGCCAGGGCCAAGGCUGUCAGGGUCACAUCAGGGCUUCCUGUUCGGAGUCAAGAGAGUAUUUCCAGAAAGCAAGGUUAGAGGUUCCUGUGAGUCGAGUUAUGGGUUUCUAUUGAUAGGAAAAGGUUUUCUAUAGAGUCCAGUCAGAGGGUUCCAGUAUAGUUGUGGGCAAGGCUUCCUGUAGAGGCUCAGGGCUGUGAAGCUAACACAUGGUAAGGAUAGGAAGCCCUGUACGGUGUGUGUGUGUGUUGGGGGGGGGGGGGUCCUGUGCCAGGUGAGGCUAUAGGUACCUGUAGAAGAUGAGGUCUGGGCUUGAAGUAGAGGGUCAGGAAAGGAUUUUUUUUUUUUAAGGAAGGGGAUUUCUAUGUAAGUUCAAGACUAAAGUUCAUGUUAAGAGUGGGAACACGGGUUCUUGUGAGAUCAGGAAUUGUGUAGAGUGACAUGGGGGUGGGGGCGCUCAUUGUCAACAAUGGAGGCAAGAGAUCGUAUAUUCAGUCAGUUCCUGGAGAGGUUGAAGAUGGAAUUUCUGCAAAGAGAGCCAGGUAGGGGUUCAGAACCAGAUUUUAUUGGGGCACCUUUUAUUACUAAGCCUAGGUGGCUUAGUCGGUGAAGUGUCCAACUUUGGCUCGGGUCAUGAUCUCAUGGUUUGUGAGUUUGAGCCCGGCAUCGGGCUCUCUGCUGUCAGUACAGAGCCUGCUUUGGAUCCUCUGUCCCCCUCUCUCUGUUCCCCUUUCCUACUCAUCCUCUUUCUCUCUCAAGAAUAAAAAUUAAAAAAAAAACCUUUUCAGAACUAGAUUUUAUUGUGAUUGAAGCGUUUCUAAAAUGUUAUCUGGAGGGCUAGGCUCCAAUACAGUGUGAAGACAGAGGUGUCCUGUGCAAGGUCAAGGCAGGAUUCCUAUAGAGAGGUCGAGGCUAGUGAAGAGGGUCAGGACAGGUGUUUCUAAAGAGAUGGUAAAAGGGCUUCCUUACAGUAUGAGUUCACAGAUUCCUAACUAGGGUUAAGUCAGAGGUUCCUGUGCCAUGGGAGGACGGGGUUUCCUCCUAUUCAAGGUGAGGGCUGAUAUUCCUAUCCAGGGUCAUGAUGGGUUUCCUGUUGCUAAAUAGAGAAAGAGUUCCCUUAGAGUAUCAGACUAGGGCAGCCAUUCUUCUAGGAGGUGAGGACUGGGGCUCCUGAACAAGGUGGGAGCAGGCACAUUUCCAGCACAGGUUCUGAAAGGGGUUUCCGUUCAAGACGAGGACAGGGGCUCCUACAAGGUGACAGGGCUGAGGUUCUAUGGGGUGACCAGGCAGGCAGGAGGCUUUUAUAAGGCCAGGGCAGUUCUGGACAGCCCCUGUAAUGAGCAUAGCCUGCUGUGAUUCCGCAGUGGGCUGGCAUGGCGACUAGCUAAAUAAGUGCUGUUCUAAGGACAACUGCUUACUCCCUACUGUGUUUAGGACAUGUGCCCCCCCCCCCGCCCCCGCUCCUUGCAGCCCUUUUCUCUGGGGCUCUAGGAGAAAGCCAUAAAGAGAAGCAGCCCAAAAGCAAAUUCAGCUGAGUAUAUUGAGGAGUGAGUGAUGAGAGGGAGAGAGAGGCCAGUUAAGUGUGAGCAAGACUCACAUCAGGGGAAGCGGCCCCAUCCAAAAUCCACUCCUUAAACUCAGUGUGGUCAGGGGGAGUUACUCCAGUUCUGAGCCUUACUUUUUCAUUAGUAAAAUGAAAAUGUAAAAUAAGUAUCCUUUCUUUGGAGCAUUUUUUUGCAGGCGUUCAUGAACUAAAGCAACUGAAGCCUCCCAGCCAUUGCCCGAUCCACACAAACACUCAGCAAGUGGUGCUGCUUGCUGUCAGGAGCUGCUGGGGAGUAUGGACACUAAGGCUCAGAGCCUGGCUUUGGCCCCGUGUCACCAGUUGUGUGGCCUCAAACGAGCCACUUAACCUCUCUGGCUUAGGAUGCCACCCAACUCAGUGCAUGUUCCUAUGUAAGGGUUUCCUUUUUGGAAGAACAGAUCCCACUCUGGGCAGAGCCAUUCACCCAGAGCUGCAGGCUGAGCUGGGCCGAGAGAGAUAAGAGAUGAAUGACAGGGAAGGCCCACGGACAACCCCAUGGUCCUGCACUGGCCAUCUGACCUUCUUGCCAGCUACCAUUCCAGCCCCAGCCCUCCCCCUUUCCUGUCCUGCACAUGCCUUUUGUUCUCUGGAAGGGGGUCCAUCAUUUAGACCAACUGAAACCAUACAUGUUGAUACUUCUGUGAAUAAGUAUACACAGAGCUGCUUACAUCGUCAGGCACUCAGAGACACUGUGACAUGGCACAUACCACAUGAUAUAUGCUCACACACACAGAGACUUGCGUAGGAAUACUUACCAGCCCCACAGAGAUACCCUGCCCUGUGGACCUUCAUCAUCACAUUGUUAUGCCACCACACCCCACCACACAGUCUUUGUUCAACAUUCCAAAAGUGUUUAUCAAUCAAGUUCUCUUUUUUUAAGUUUAUUUAUUUAUUUUUGAGAGAGAGAACAAGCUUUGGAGGGGCAGAGAGAGAAGGAGAAAAAGAAUCCCUCACUGUCAGCGCAGAGCCCGAUUCUGCUGGAACUCAUGAACUGUGAGAUCAUGACCCGAGCCAAAAUCAGGAGUCAGACACUUAACUGACUGAGCCACCCAGGCACCUCUCGAUCACGUUCUAUGCCCCCUACGUGUGCCAUCAUACUGUCUCAAAGAUCACAGCGGUGCACAGUCACACCAGCACAACACCACAUGUUUCUUCUGCAUUUGCCAUCAUACAUGCACUUCCACAUCCUCUCAUGCAGUCACCUGUGCCCUGCCUCUCUCUGUCACCUGGUGUCAUGCACACCAUAUUGCAAAGCCUCACCCCCUUGGUCACACACUGCAUCUUAUGCCGUGGUGUGUGACUAUCUCACAACCCAGAAGCUGUCACACAAAGUUUCCUAUACACUAUUUACAACUGCACAUCAUAACGCACCAUCGUGAAGUGUCACAUAUGUUACCUCAGCCUCACAUGGCCAUACAUUGUAGCCCUACACUGUCAUCAAAGACUCCCAGACAGUGCCAUGCACCCUAUCUACCAUUGCCCUUUAUUCAGUCCCACACAGACUCACAUCUCCAGUUUUAGGACUCCAGUGGUUUUAUUUUACAAAAGCUUUGAAGGUCCAGGCUGGGGGAUGUCUUGGGGCCCAGAGGGUUGGGUUGUACAGACUGCUGGCUACAUAGGAGAGGGACACCACCUCUGCCCCAAGCCCAUGAUCUGUGUCCUCAUGAGCUGAGUGGGGCCACCACAGUGGUGGUGGUGGUAGUAGGGACAGGGCCUGUGGGGAAGGAGCCUGUGGGCGAACCCAGCAGUGGUCCCGGGAAAGGCAUGAGGUGGCUGACAGGCCCUGACAGCACCACGGGGCCCAGGCCCUGGUAGAGAUGGGCAGUACUGGGUGGGCCCAGUGUCAAGCCUGGGGCCACCUCCCCACAAUUCCCACUACCGCUGCCCCCGGCCACCACCAUGAAGCCACCAGCUGGUCCUUCAGCUGCUCCAGUACCUCCCAGAGUUGACCCUCGUUUCUUUUUCCCUUUUCCAGAUGCCUUGCGGUUUCGAGUCUGAAUACCAUCCUUCCGCAUGGUCAGUGGUCGGUUCACCUGCCAAAAGGGAGGCCAUGGAUGUUUCCCAACUCCACAUCUUUGCCUCUGUGUCUUGACAAGGGAGGCCAUCUCUACUGCACUUCUUUAAGGAUAGAGAAUUGGUUCAAGGACUAGGGAAGCAUGACCCUGGUGUGGUACAGUGUCGUGGUGGUUGUCUGGCAGUUGGUGCACUGGGUACCUGCCCGUUUGCUGACAAUCUGGGGGAGAGAGAAUAUGAGGAUCAACCCACUGCGGGGUGGAGGACCCAAGAGGUAAGGGUCAGGUUGAAGGCCGGGCUUCCUGUGCAGGGCGAGAACAGAUGUACUUGCAGGGUGAUGACUGUGGGUUCUGAAUGGGGCAAGAGCGGGGCCUCCCGACCAGAAUAGGGGAUUUUGGUAUUGGGGGUGAGACUCCAUCAGUGAUGGCCAACUUUGGCCAUACAUUGGAAUCACUCGGGGAGUUGAAAACCUGAUGCCCAGGCAGCACCCCUGACCAAUGAAAUAGAUACGUCUAGGGGAGUGCCCAGGCCCCUGUGGUUCAGAGCAUCCUAAGGUGAUUCCAGUGUGAAGCCAAGGAAGAAAACACUGCCGUGCAGGGAGAGGACAGGGUUCCUGCAUGUAGCCUAUGAAGGUAGGUUGAGGAUAGGCAUUCCUAUGCAAAGCUGGGUUCCUGUAUGGAUGGGGAAGGGAUGGGGGCUAUGGAUUCUCAUAGAGCAUGAGGACAGGGAUCCCUGCACAGGGUGAGAACAACAGUUCCUAGGUGGAGGCAGACAGGCCUGGGGUCUUACCAGGCGCUUCUUGGGCCGGAUGAGGGGCCUGUUCUGUCCAUUCAUCUUGUGAUAGAGGCCACAGGCAUUGCAUAGGUAGUGGCCCGUCCUGUCCCGCCGCCACAGUGGAGUGGCUGUUGCUCCGCAGUUCACACACUCCCUGGCCUCUGAUGGGGUGGACAAAAGGGAUGGGGGAUCCCAGGCUCAGCCCAACUUUGCUUUGCAUGCCACCCUACCUCAUCCUCCCUCUCCCUUUU